GAGUUGUGGAAUCGUUUUUUCCGAGGUUUCAUUUAGCUCAUUCGUCUCUUAAGGUUUAGCGAAGUGUGUGCUGCUUCGCCAAUUAUAGUUGUGUAGGUGUGUGGUGAAGCAGAAAAGAUAAUGCUAAUGAGCAAAGGAGAAACUGUGAUCAGUAGCGAUCGGACAGCAAUACGUUUGACUAGUGAAAAAUAGGCUUGCGUUCAUAAAAUUUGGAGAUAACAAAAAAAAACUUUCGUUACAUGUGUGGAAAGCGGCUCCCUUCCUUCGUGCAUAGAAAAAAUAUGUUGCAAGUGUUGAUUGUUUUUUGGAAGAAAAAAGUGAAAUCUUUUUUUCAAUGCGCUUUUUGGAAAAAUUCGUGUAUUAAAAAAUGUGGCCAUUGCAGGCGAGUACCACAUUUUAAAUGUGUCAAAGGUGUUUUAAAUGUGCCAAAGGUGUUUUAAAUGUGU